GAUGAACGCUGACAGAAUGCUUAACACAUGCAAGUCUACUUGAAUUUGGGUUUUUAACUUAGGUUUGGGUGGCGGACGGGUGAGUAACGCGUAAAGAACUUGCCUCACAGCUAGGGACAACAUUUAGAAAUGAAUGCUAAUACCUAAUAUUAUGAUAAUAGGGCAUCCUAUAAUUAUGAAAGCUAUAUGCGCUGUGAGAGAGCUUUGCGUCCCAUUAGCUAGUUGGAGAGGUAACGGCUCACCGAGGCGAUGAUGGGUAGCCGGCCUGAGAGGGUGAUCGGCCACAAGGGGACUGAGACACGGCCCUUACUCCUACGGGAGGCAGCAGUGGGGAAUAUUGGACAAUGGACCGAGAGUCUGAUCCAGCAAUUCUGUGUGCACGAUGAAGUUUUUCGGAAUGUAAAGUGCUUUCAGUUGGGAAGAAAGAAAUGACGGUACCAACAGAAGAAGUGACGGCUAAAUACGUGCCAGCAGCCGCGGUAAUACGUAUGUCACGAGCGUUAUCCGGAUUUAUUGGGCGUAAAGCGCGUCUAGGUGGUUAUAUAAGUCUGAUGUGAAAAUGCAGGGCUCAACUCUGUAUUGCGUUGGAAACUGUAUAACUAGAGUACUGGAGAGGUAAGCGGAACUACAAGUGUAGAGGUGAAAUUCGUAGAUAUUUGUAGGAAUGCCGAUGGGGAAGCCAGCUUACUGGACAGAUACUGACGCUGAAAGCGCGAAAGCGUGGGGUAGCAAACAGG
rnacentral:rRNA from 1 species